UACGGGGGGGGUAAGCGUUGUUCGGAAUUACUGGGCGUAAAGGGCUCGUAGGCGGCCAACUAAGUCAUACGUGAAAUCCCUCAGCUUAACUGGGGAACUGCGUGUGAUACUGGAUGGCUUGGAUUUGGGAGAGGGAUGCGGAAUUCCAGGUUUAGCGGUGAAAUGCGUAGAUAUCUGGAGGAACACCGGUGGCGAAGGCGGCAUCCUGGACCAAUAUUGACGCUGAGGAGCGAAAGCCAGGGGAGCAAACGGG
rnacentral:rRNA from 1 species